rnacentral:rRNA from 1 species
UACCAGCACCCCGAGUGGUCGGGACGUUUUAUUGGGCCUAAAGCAUCCGUAGCCGGUUCUACAAGUCUUCCGUUAAAUCCAACUGCUUAACAGGUGGGCUGCGGAAGAUACUAUAGAGCUAGGAGGCGGGAGAGGCAAGCGGUACUCGAUGGGUAGGGGUAAAAUCCGUUGAUCCAUUGAAGACCACCAGUGGCGAAGGCGGCUUGCCAGAACGCGCUCGACGGUGGAGGGAUGAAAGCU